UGGGGUAGCUCAGCUGGUAGAGCAUCUCCAUGGUAAGGAGAAGGUCGUGGGUUCGAUUCCCAUCCCC
rnacentral:tRNA from 1 species